GACGAACGCUGGCGGCGUGCUUAACACAUGCAAGUCGAACGAAGUGGCGAACGGGUGAGUAACGCGUAAUCAACCUGCCCUUCAGAGGGGGACAACAGUUGGAAACGACUGCUAAUACCGCAUACUGAAGGAGGGGAUUGCGUCUGAUUAGCUAGUUGGAGGGGUAACGGCCCACCAAGGCGAUGAUCAGUAGCCGGGCUGCGGAGAUGAACGGGCAAAUUGGGACUGAGCACCGGCCCAGACUCCGACGGGAGGCAGCAGUGGGGGAUCUUUCGCAAUGGACGAAAGUCUGACGGAGCAACGCCGCGUGAGUGAUGACGGCCUUCGGGUUGUAAAGCUCUGUUAAUCGGGACGCGGUACCGGAAUAGAAAGCCACGGCUAACUACGUGCCAGCAGCCGCGGUAAUAC
rnacentral:rRNA from 1 species